GCCCUCGUAGCUCAACGGAUAGAGUAGCCCCGUCCUAAGGGGUUGAUGGAGGUCCGAUUCCUCCCGAGGGCG
rnacentral:tRNA from 1 species